UACGUAGGGGGCAAGCGUUGUCCGGAUUUAUUGGGCGUAAAGAGCGUGUAGGCGGCCUGGUAGGUCAGCUGUGAAAACUCGAGGCUCAACCUCGAGACGUCGGUUGAAACCACCUGGCUAGAGUCCGGAAGAGGAGAGUGGAAUUCCCGGUGUAGCGGUGAAAUGCGCAGAUAUCAGGAAGAACACCCGUGGCGAAGGCGGCUCUCUGGGCCGGUACUGACGCUGAGGAGCGAAAGCGUGGGGAGCAAACAGG
rnacentral:rRNA from 1 species